GACGAAGGGGGCUAGCGUUGUUCGGAAUUACUGGGCGUAAAGCGCGUGUAGGCGGUUGCCCAAGUCGGGUGUGAAAGCCUUGAGCUCAACUCAAGAAAUGCACUCGGUACUGGGUGACUAGAGGACCGGAGAGGAUAGUGGAAUUCCCAGUGUAGUGGUGAAAUACGUAGAGAUUGGGAAGAACACCAGUGGCGAAGGCGGCGACCUGGUCCGAUACUGACGCUGAGGCGCGAAAGCGUGGGGAGCAAACAGG
rnacentral:rRNA from 1 species